UACGAAGGGGGCAAGCGUUGUUCGGAAUUACUGGGCGUAAAGGGCGCGCAGGCGGCCGAUCAAGUCAGAUGUGAAAGCCCCGGGCUCAACCUGGGAAUAGCAUUUGGGACUGAUUGGCUAGAGUUCGGGAGAGGAGAGUGGAAUUCCCAGUGUAGAGGUGAAAUUCGUAGAUAUUGGGAAGAACACCGGUGGCGAAGGCGGCUCUCUGGACCGACACUGACGCUGAGGCGCGAAAGCGUGGGGAGCAAACAGG
rnacentral:rRNA from 1 species